AGAUUUCGUUGAAAUUAACGCACACUUAAGUACUUAUGAUAUAACUCUUAAAUAUGUAAAGAGUUUUCAGUUUUGCAAAUAUCGUUCAUAAAAUUCAAUGUCGAUAGGUAAUCAAUGUUUAGGAUCUUUAAUUUCAAGUGUAUGUAGGUACAAAGAGUUGGCUUUGUUCAGUACGCCUGCCAGUGGGUGAUCCAGUUUUUGGUGCAUUGAAAACUGCAUCCCUUGUUUUAAAAAAGCUGGGGAAAAAAUGCACGCAUCGGAUGCACGCGAUACUGCUAAAUUUAAAUCGACGAACUGCUUGGCACCUGUAUGUAUGUAUGUAUGUACAUGCAUUUCUGUACGACGUUAACUACAGUCAACUUGAUAAUUACUUAUAAUGGAAUGUUAAGUGCUUUGGAUCUUUCAUUAAAACAAAUGGGCUGAAUUACAAUCUUUAUAACCCAUUAUCGUUUUAAUCUACUUAAAGUUUGAAAUUAUAGAGACAUCGAACUAGUCGAACUUAAUUAACCGAUUUCAUUAAACGUUCAUCGACCAGUCAAUCGAGCAUUUCAAUCGUUAAACAGCUACUCGCAUAAUCAACAGUAUCAUUGAUAUAUCAAUUUCAUAUCGACACUAUAUUAUUGGUCAUGCGAGUAUAAAUUCCAUGGGAAGUGUAGAAGUGACGACACAGUCGCUUUGUGAUCUCAAGAGAAGCCAUCGAGAAAGAAAAUUGUCGAUUGUCAGGCCGAAACGUAUCGACUAUAUGUACAUACAUAUAGCGCCGCGACCCGAUUCUCAUGCAUAGUCCUAGGUGAUCGUCGCUCACGCUCGUGAGCGUUCGGCCGUUUCUAGGCAUGUCCGGGAAUUCUUGUGGUGGGGGUGGUACCCUUAUUGAGAGCAGGUUUGCUUCCAAAAUCUGCCACGGAGGGAGGACUCUAUGGUCGUGUUACACAGAAUUCGGAAUAAUUCGCCACUGUAGCGUGGGGUUUGCACCGACCUACGUAAUACAUAGUACAUACCCCCGCGAUUGCAGUGCUAGUGGGGCUAGCGGAGAAUUCACGAAACUUUUGUUCUUCAACAAAAAGGGUAAUCACUCCUACAAGCGGAGUUUUCAGGCCUGUGUAGUACAUACAUAUACGAUCGUACUUCUAGGCGAGUGUCUUCAUCGCUUCGAGUCUCAUUGAUCCCUCGGACGCGGUUGCGCGCAAUGGUCGGCAGACGGCAGUGGUACUCGGCUCGACCAAUCAGCUGUCGCGAUUACCCUGACUGCGUCCGAGUCUCGUGGCCCUUGGCCAGCCGGUCUCUUGUUGUUUUCCAUCGUAGGCUUCUCUAACCCAUUCGCUUGUUCGCUGGUGCGCGUUCGAACGGCGAUAAACGUCAAACGCGAUCGUCGGGAAGGUUAAACGCGUCGACGACGGCGGUCACGGCGCGGCGCGGCGCGGCGGAGGCGAUUAGUAACGACGUCCUUGGUGACAAGGUUCGAGCAGAUCGUACGCCCCCUUCUUGUCGCCGCCGUCACCAUGAUACCGUACUCCACGUGCUUGUCUUUCGGGGGCCGACGCGGCGCUCGUCGCUGGGUGGUCUUACACGACGGGUCCUCCUCUCCCUACCCGUGCGAUAACAGCCGAAUGAAGGGGAAGUCGUGUUUCAGCACACCGUACUAGAGAAAUAAAGCGAGACAGAGAAAGAGAAUACAUAAUGCUUCGAUUCGCGUGCGCAACAUGCCUCCGGGUUCGAUGAACGUCUUCGAUUUCCUUGAUAUGAUUGUUUAGCUUUUGUUCAAUAAUGUAUGUAUGUAUAUACAUACAUAUGUACAUACGCACAUGUCAAAGAAAUUCGAGCGAUUUCUCAUCGGACGUAUUACAUUCGAUAGAGGACUUUAACUCCUUUGAUCGUUAUAUUAAUGUUUUUCUUAAAAAAUUUUGCAAAUUAAAAAGGAAGCUUUUUAUUGGAGUAUGCUCAUCACCAGUCACUAUGCUCACUAAGUAGUUUGCUGUAUGCUACUGAUACGCAUAUUGAGCCAUGCAGUUGGCACAGGUCCUGUUUUAUAUUUAGGCACUUAGGAUGUUCUAACGAUAUUCCAAAUUUUAAAAAUAAGAGAAAAAUAUUCAAUAAAUAUAUAAUAAGUUAUUUAAAGGAUGAAGGAAACGAUCAUGAACCUGCUCUUGUUGUUAGCACGUAACAAAAUUUCAUCUUGUAUAUGUAUAGCACACUCAAAAUCAUUCUUCUAUUCUUUUAAUCAUUGAAGUGUAUCAAAGUUGAAAUUCACUUACCGCUGACCCUCUUGAUAAUUAGGGUGCUAAUUAAUUUUUGUCUUGAAGCUUCCCUAUAAACAUGGAAUCUAGAGUAGCUGAUACCCACAGAUCAAAUGAUUAUUAUUACCGAUCUAUUUCUACAUUGAGCAGUAGGUAUGCUCGAUAAUUUCCUGUUAGGAGGAACGCCUCAUGCUUACACGCAUCACUCACGCACGCGCGUGCACCUUAUUCUAUUGCUUCGAAAGCCAAUGAAUGUACAUACAUAGUACAUAUAUGUAUAGCUAUAUCACAUAAAUAAAAAGACUGCGAAGAAUACUA